rnacentral:rRNA from 1 species
UACGCAGGGAGCUAGCGUUGUUCGGAAUCACUGGGCGUAAAGCGCACGUAGGCGGAUGUGUCAGUCAGGGGUGAAAUCCCGGAGCUCAACUUCGGAACUGCCUUUGAUACAGCACGUCUUGAGUCCGAUAGAGGUGGGUGGAAUUCCUAGUGUAGAGGUGAAAUUCGUAGAUAUUCGGAGGAACACCAGUGGCGAAGGCGGCUCACUGGUCCAUUACUGACGCUGAGGUGCGAAAGCGUGGGGAGCAAACAGG